rnacentral:rRNA from 1 species
AACGAACGCUGGCGGCAGGCUUAACACAUGCAAGUCGAGCGCCCUGCAAGGGGAGCGGCAGACGGGUGAGUAACGCGUGGGAAUCUACCUUGAACUACGGGAUAGCUCCGGGAAACUGGAAUUAAUACCGUAUGUGCCCUUAGGGGGAAAGAUUUAUCGGUUCAGGAUGAGCCCGCGUCGGAUUAGCUAGUUGGUGGGGUAAAGGCCUACCAAGGCGACGAUCCGUAGCUGGUCUAAGAGGAUGAUCAGCCACAUUGGGACUGAGACACGGCCCAAACUCCUACGGGAGGCAGCAGUGGGGAAUAUUGGACAAUGGGCGCAAGCCUGAUCCAGCCAUGCCGCGUGAGUGAUGAAGGCCCUAGGGUUGUAAAGCUCUUUCACCGGGGACGAUAAUGACGGUACCCGGAGAAGAAGCCCCGGCUAACUUCGUGCCAGCCGCCGCCGUAA